rnacentral:rRNA from 1 species
GACGAACGCUGGCGGCGUGCUUAACACAUGCAAGUCGAACGAUGAAGCCGGAGCUUGCUCUGGUGAAUUAGUGGCGAACGGGUGAGUAACACGUGAGUAACCUGCCCUUGACUCUGGGAUAACUGCGGGAAACUGUAGCUAAUACCGGAUACGACCCUCGGAGGCAUCUCCUGGGGGUGGAAAGAAUUUCGGUCAAGGAUGGACUCGCGGCCUAUCAGCUAGUUGGUGAGGUAAAGGCUCACCAAGGCGACGACGGGUAGCCGGCCUGAGAGGGUGACCGGCCACACUGGGACUGGGACACGGCCCAGACUCCUACGGGAGGCAGCAGUGGGGAAUAUUGCACAAUGUGCGCAAGCCUGAUGCAGCAACGCCGCGUGAGGGAUGACGGCCUUCGGGUUGUAAACCUCUUUUAGCAGGGAAGAAGCGAAAGUGACGGUACCUGCAGAAAAAGCACCGGCUAACUACGUGCCAGCCGCCGCAGUAA